AAAAAAUGAUGAUUAUAUAGAGAUAGAAGCUAUGAAAAUGGUUAUGACAUUUAAAUCGACAGAAACUGGUAUAUUAAAACAUAAAUUGUCUGAAGGUACAAUUAUUAAAAUAGGCGACUUAUUAGGUAUAAUCGAAAAAGAAGAAGAGAGUAAUGACAUAAUAAGUGGUAAAAAACAAUCAGAUGAUAUUAAAAUAUUCGAAGGUUAUUUAGAUUUAUCAAACAAACAUGCAUAUGAAAUGAAUGAGCAUGUAGUUGAGUGGGACAUGAAACAAACAGAAAAGUAUGACCUUGGUCAUACAUAUAAUAAACAAACUUUUCCAAUUUUCAAUUCAAGUAGUAUGAACAAAGACAUGUUAGGAAUAGACAAUUAUGAAUCGAACAUAAGUACUAUGUCUAACGAAUUAUAUAAUGAAGUAACACUAAAUUCACAAAAUAUAGCAGCAAGAAGGACAGGAGAUUUUAAUUUAGUAAGUGAAAAGGUUUAUAAAAAAAAUGAAACAUCAUCACCUUCAUCAUCAUCAUUUUCAUCAUCAUCACCUUCAUCAUCAUCAUCAUCAUCAUCAUCAUCAUUAAAAUCAUCAUCAUUAAAAUCAUCAUCAUUAAAAUCAAAAGGUCGAGAAAAUAAAUUAUUUUUUAGAGACCCAAAAAAAAACACAUCUUGCUUAUUUGAUCAUAAAGAUAAAAAUGAUAUAAGAAAAAACAAAAAGUUAACUAACUUUUUAAUGAAUAAAAUUAUGUCUGUGCAAAAUUAUAUAAACCAUAGAAAUUCUUCAUAUAGAGAUGCGCAAGUUAAUGCCACAGGUGAUGCUACUACCGCCAGUACCGUUAGUAUUAGCACACGAAAUGAUCAAACAACAAUGGCAGCAGCACCUAUUAAAAACUCACAUGCUUAUUCUGACACACUUGCCUAUAUGCAUGGCAUAACAGAUUUAUCCAUGUCUGUGAAAAAUGGUAUCACAUGCACUUGUGUGAAUAGUAGUAUGAAUAGUGGUGUAAAUAGUAGCAGCAAUAGUAGCAGCAAUAGUAGCAGCAAUAGUAGCAGCAAUAGUAGCAGUAAUGGUAACAGCAAUAGUAACAGCAAUAGUAACAGCAAUAGUAACAGCAAUAGUAACAGCAAUAGUAAUAGCAAUAGUAACAGCAAUAGUAACAGCAAUAGUAACAGCAAUAGCAGUAGCUAUAGUAACGGCAAUAGCAGUAGCUAUAGUAACGGCAAUAGCAGUAGCAAUAGUAACGGCAAUAGCAGUAGCAAUAUCAAUAACCUAUCAGACAUAACUAACAACACUUCAAAGUUUAGAGCCCAGCUUAACGAUCAUAAUAAUAUAACUACAAAAAUACACAACAACAAGUUAACAUCAAACGAAGUGGUUGCAUCGGAGCAUAACACACCAAGUGUUAACUCGUCAGGCAGUAGCAUUUUAUUAAAUGGUAAGAACUUAAGUGGUAGUAACAGUAGCAUAUCCCGUUCUAACUAUUAUAAUACUAAUAGUAUUAUUCAAGAUAAGGA
rnacentral:lncRNA from 1 species